GAUGAACGCUGGCGGCGUGCCUCAAACAUGCAAGUCGAGCGGGGCUAUGUAAUAUCGCAAGGUAGAACAUAGCCUAGCGGCGAACGGGUGAGUAACACGUGGGUAACCUGCCUGGAAGACAGGGAUAACGAUUCGAAAGGGUCGCUAAUACCUGAUAAUAUCCUUUCAUCGCAUGGUGAUAGGAAGAAAGGGGAAACCCGCUUUCAGAUGGGCCCGCGUCCCAUCAGCUAGUUGGUAAGGUAAAGGCUUACCAAGGCGACGACGGGUAGCCGGUCUGAGAGGAUGUACGGCCACACUGGGACUGAGAUACGGCCCAGACUCCUACGGGAGGCAGCAGUUGGGAAUCUUAGGCAAUGGACGAAAGUCUGACCUAGCGACGCCGCGUGAGGGAAGAAGGCCUUCGGGUUGUAAACCUCUGUCAUGGGGGAAAAGUAAGUGACGGUACCCCAAGAGGAAGCCCCUGCUAACUACGUG
rnacentral:rRNA from 1 species